GAUGAACGCUGGCGGCGUGCCUAAUACAUGCAAGUCGAGCGAACGGACGAGAAGCUUGCUUCUCUGAUGUUAGCGGCGGACGGGUGAGUAACACGUGGAUAACCUACCUAUAAGACUGGGAUAACUUCGGGAAACCGGAGCUAAUACCGGAUAAUAUUUUGAACCGCAUGGUUCAAAAGUGAAAGACGGUCUUGCUGUCACUUAUAGAUGGAUCCGCGCUGCAUUAGCUAGUUGGUAAGGUAACGGCUUACCAAGGCAACGAUGCAUAGCCGACCUGAGAGGGUGAUCGGCCACACUGGAACUGAGACACGGUCCAGACUCCUACGGGAGGCAGCAGUAGGGAAUCUUCCGCAAUGGGCGAAAGCCUGACGGAGCAACGCCGCGUGAGUGAUGAAGGUCUUCGGAUCGUAAAACUCUGUUAUUAGGGAAGAACAUAUGUGUAAGUAACUGUGCACAUCUUGACGGUACCUAAUCAGAAAGCCACGGCUAACUACGUGCCAGCAGCCGCGGUAAUACGUAGGUGGCAAGCGUUAUCCGGAAUUAUUGGGCGUAAAGCGCGCGUAGGCGGUUUUUUAAGUCUGAUGUGAAAGCCCACGGCUCAACCGUGGAGGGUCAUUGGAAACUGGAAAACUUGAGUGCAGAAGAGGAAAGUGGAAUUCCAUGUGUAGCGGUGAAAUGCGCAGAGAUAUGGAGGAACACCAGUGGCGAAGGCGACUUUCUGGUCUGUAACUGACGCUGAUGUGCGAAAGCGUGGGGAUCAAACAGGAUUAGAUACCCUGGUAGUCCACGCCGUAAACGAUGAGUGCUAAGUGUUAGGGGGUUUCCGCCCCUUAGUGCUGCAGCUAACGCAUUAAGCACUCCGCCUGGGGAGUACGACCGCAAGGUUGAAACUCAAAGGAAUUGACGGGGACCCGCACAAGCGGUGGAGCAUGUGGUUUAAUUCGAAGCAACGCGAAGAACCUUACCAAAUCUUGACAUCCUUUGACAACUCUAGAGAUAGAGCUUUCCCCUUCGGGGGACAAAGUGACAGGUGGUGCAUGGUUGUCGUCAGCUCGCGUCGUGAGAUGUUGGGUUAAGUCCCGCAACGAGCGCAACCCUUAAGCUUAGUUGCCAUCAUUAAGUUGGGCACUCUAAGUUGACUGCCGGUGACAAACCGGAGGAAGGUGGGGAUGACGUCAAAUCAUCAUGCCCCUUAUGAUUUGGGCUACACACGUGCUACAAUGGACAAUACAAAGGGCAGCGAAACCGCGAGGUCAAGCAAAUCCCAUAAAGUUGUUCUCAGUUCGGAUUGUAGUCUGCAACUCGACUACAUGAAGCUGGAAUCGCUAGUAAUCGUAGAUCAGCAUGCUACGGUGAAUACGUUCCCGGGUCU
rnacentral:rRNA from 1 species